UUCGAAGCAACGCGAAGAACCUUACCAGGCCUUGACAUGCAGAGAACUUUCCAGAGAUGGAUUGGUGCCUUCGGGAACUCUGACACAGGUGCUGCAUGGCUGUCGUCAGCUCGUGUCGUGAGAUGUUGGGUUAAGUCCCGUAACGAGCGCAACCCUUGUCCUUAGUUACCAGCACGUUAUGGUGGGCACUCUAAGGAGACUGCCGGUGACAACCGGAGGAAGGCGGGGAUGACGUCAAGUCAUCAUGGCCCUUACGGCCUGGGCUACACACGUGCUACAAUGGUCGGUACAAAGGGUUGCCAAGCCGCGAGGUGGAGCUAAUCCCAUAAAACCGAUCGUAGUCCGGAUCGCAGUCUGCAACUCGACUGCGUGAAGUCGGAAUCGCUAGUAAUCGUGAAUCAGAAUGUCACGGUGAAUACGUUCCCGGGCCUU
rnacentral:rRNA from 1 species